UACGUAGGGUGCAAGCGUUGUCCGGAAUUAUUGGGCGUAAAGAGCUCGUAGGCGGUCUGUCGCGUCGGCUGUGAAAACCCGAGGCUCAACCUCGGGCCUGCAGUCGAUACGGGCAAACUAGAGUACUGCAGGGGAGACUGGAAUUCCUGGUGUAGCGGUGAAAUGCGCAGAUAUCAGGAGGAACACCGGUGGCGAAGGCGGUUCUCUGGGCAUGUCCU
rnacentral:rRNA from 1 species